rnacentral:rRNA from 1 species
AUUGAACGCUGGCGGCAGGCCUAACACAUGCAAGUCGAACGAGUGGCGGACGGGUGAGUAAUGUCUGGGACACUGCCUGAUGGAGGGGGAUAACUACUGGAAACGGUAGCUAAUACCGCAUCCCAUCAGAUGUGCCCAGAUGGGAUUAGCUAGUAGGUGAGGUAACGGCUCACCUAGGCGACGAUCCCUAGCUGGUCUGCGAGGAUGACCAGCCACACUGGAACUGAGACACGGGCCAGACUCCUACGGGAGGCAGCAGUGGGGAAGAUUGGAAAAGGGGCGAAAGCCUGAUGCAGCCAUGCCGCGUGUAUGAUGAAGGCCUUCGGGUUGUAAAGUACUUUCAGCGGGGAGGCGUUACCCGCAGAAGAAGCACCGGCUAACUCCGUGCCAGCCGCCGCGGUAAUAC